rnacentral:rRNA from 1 species
AUGGCGGGCACUGCCAUCGCAGCCCACCACCAUUUUCGCCUAAUGCAGCAAAGUCAGGAGCUGGUUCCAGCAAAAAUCAGAUGUGGUUCUAGCAACAAAAUUGAUGUAGCAAAAGAAGUCAGGGCAGCGACGGCACCAUCAACCUAUCAAUUGCAGCAAAAUAAAAAAAAGGUUCCAGCAAAAAAUGAAGUGGUUCCAGCAACCUAUCUUAGCGCUCCCCGUCGCUCGCGAUUCGGCAGGCAUGCGGCAGCGCCGUCCCGGCCGCGCGCAGCACAUAGUCUCCCCGCUCCUACCGUGCACCACCUAAACGACCAACACCAAGCACCGGCAGCGCCCCGCAUCCAGCCUUGCCGGUGGGUCAGCAAGGAGGAGCUGGGUAGAGGAGGAGGCCCCAACGGAAGCACUCUGCAGCGAGCUUUGCCGGUGGGUCAGCUGCGAGGAGCUGGGUAG